GGGGUUGCGUAUACGGGGUUGUGGGAUCUCUCUUUCACGGUCUGCCGGCCGUGAGACGAGUCAGAAACCGUUGAUGUAGGCGAAGGACAUGCGAAAGGUCCGGCGUAGAGGGUAAGACCCCCGUAGUCGAAACGUCAGCGGCUCGUUUGAGAGACACCCAAGUAGCACGGGGCCCGAGAAAUCCCGUGUGAAUCUGGCGGGACCACCCGCUAAGCCUAAAUAUUCCCUGGUGACCGAUAGCGGAUAGUACCGUGAGGGAAUGGUAGAAAAGUCCGCGGGAGCGGAGUGAAAUAGUACCUGAAACCGUGUGCCUACAAGCCGUGGGAGCGUCGGAUGGAAGCUUGCUUCCAUCUCGUGACUGC
rnacentral:ncRNA from 1 species